rnacentral:rRNA from 1 species
GACGAACGCUGGCGGCGUGCUUAACACAUGCAAGUCGAACGGAAAGGCCCUGCUUUUGUGGGGUGCUCGAGUGGCGAACGGGUGAGUAACACGUGAGUAACCUGCCCUUGACUUUGGGAUAACUUCAGGAAACUGGGGCUAAUACCGGAUAGGAGCUCCUGCUGCAUGGUGGGGGUUGGAAAGUUUCGGCGGUUGGGGAUGGACUCGCGGCUUAUCAGCUUGUUGGUGGGGUAGUGGCUUACCAAGGCUUUGACGGGUAGCCGGCCUGAGAGGGUGACCGGCCACAUUGGGACUAAGAUACGGCCCAGUCUCCUACGGUAGGCAGCAGUGGGGAAUAUUGCACAAUGGGCGGAAGCCUGAUGCAGCAACGCCGCGUGCGGGAUGACGGCCUUCGGGUUGUAAACCGCUUUCGCCUGUGACGAAGCGUGAGUGACGGUAAUGGGUAAAGAAGCACCGGCUAACUACGUG